rnacentral:lncRNA from 1 species
AGAGCAUGAAUUAUAGCAUAUUUAUUGUGUCGUUCAGGUUUUUCCAUCUUUGGAUUAUGUCAGACUUCAGGUUGAGCUGCCCUUCCUUCAGCAAGUUCUCACCUUUAUUGAGCUCUCUCUUACUCUCUGGAACCACAGGAUGCUCCAGAUUUAACCUGAAUGUGUUCUCAUUUUUCAUAGAUUGGUUCAGGGAGUAAGAACUACCGAUCUGUGAUAAGAGCACGUAUGGAGGAGAUGCACCAGAUGGCAAUGCUGCAAAAGAUCGAGCCAGUGGCCACCAAUUCAGCAGCCAGGUACUGGGAGCUGCCUUUUGGUUUUUUGUGGUGGUUUUUUUUGGCAUGCCUAAGUGUUUGGCACCUGCGUAACGUGGCUUUGAGUUACUGGCAUAGCAGAAGUCUUUUCUUUCUAGGUAGACAGGCACCUACUUGAGGUGGCAGGGAUCAUCCUCAAUUUCCUGGUGCCCUUUCAGUGUCUAACAUUGACAAAGAUCUGCUGGAUAAAUAAUCAUCUGAGUUUUCAGUUUUGGUGUUUUAGUCACAAAGACUCAUGAAUUCUCUCAGCUAUAAGUAGUUAUACUCUAAUUAGAAUGGGAAGAUGACUCCUAGGAUUUCUUCCCUUGCUGGAGUCUCGGUCCAAACUCAGUAGUGAAUAAGGAAUAAAACCUUGUCUCUGGUCAACAAAGCAUUUCUUUUCCCUUCUGAACAGAGGAUGAUGGCACGUGGAGACAGAAGGAUGGUGGGAAAGUGCGGCUAACAUUUUAUAUUGGCCUUUCUUUUUUUUUUGAAUCAUUAAUCAAACUUGAGACCUCGUGCUUGCCAGACAAGUACCAUGCCGCUGAGCUCUAUCCCCAGCCCUGUAUUGGGCUUUGCUUUCUUUAUGGUUUUCAUUCAGUUCUGGGGAUGAAACCCAGGGCCAUGUGCAUGCUAAGCACAUGCUGUGCUAUUCAGCUACA